UGGGGAAUAUUGGACAAUGGGGGCAACCCUGAUCCAGCCAUGCCGCGUGAGUGAUGAAGGCCUUCGGGUUGUAAAGCUCUUUUGGCGGGGACGAUGAUGACGGUACCCGCAGAAUAAGCCCCGGCUAACUUCGUGCCAGCAGCCGCGGUAAGACGAAGGGGGCUAGCGUUGUUCGGAAUUACUGGGCGUAAAGCGAGUGUAGGCGGUUGCCGUAGUCAGGUGUGAAAGCCUUGAGCUCAACUCAAGAAAUGCACUUGAUACUGGGUGACUAGAGGACCGGGAGAGAUAGUGGAAUUCCCAGUGUAGUGGUGAAAUACGUAGAGAUUGGGAAGAACACCAGUGGCGAAGGCGGCUAUCUGGACGGUUACUGACGCUAAGACUCGAAAGCGUGGGGAGCAAACAGGAUUAGAUACCCUGGUAGUCCACGCCGUAAACGAUGGUGCUAGACGUUGGCGAGCUUGCUCGUCAGUGCGCAGCUAACGCGUUAAGCACCCCGCCUGGGGAGUACGGCCGC
rnacentral:rRNA from 1 species